UGAUCUCAGAAAUGGCAGCGGUCAUGCUAGUAGGACUGCUUAGUCUUUUUGAUAUUUAGUUCCAUAUCCAACAGGUGCAAAUACAAAAUGCUGUUUGGCAUUCAAAGACCUUCAUAAUCCAGCCAUCUCCUACAUUUCUGCAGGCCAAUUCAAUCCUGAAUGCUGUGAGUUUCCUGUUUCAGUAGUUACAGAUGGUACAUGUACCCAAGAUGGCUUUAUGGACUUUGAGGUCUACAGCCACCAAACUUGGCCAGCCUUGAACCUGGAAACGCUUCAGGUAAGAGAAGAGACCCUGUCUGCCAGCUGGCCUUUAAAGAGUCAUCUUGGGAGCUGGUUGUAUUUCAUGUACCUCUGAAUGGGUGCAGGAC
rnacentral:lncRNA from 1 species